GUUACACAAGGAAUCAGUGAGACAAACGGCAGCAUUUUGGAGCCAGCAGGCGCAAGCUUCCCAGCCAGCUCAACAGACUUGGGUUAGCAAGGGUUGAAUCCACAGCUCAGACUGGAACUCCAGGCUCACACUCUUACUGAACGUAGCCUCUCAGCAUCCUGUGAGAUACAAUCAGCCAGAGCCUACAAACUCCUCACAGUCACCAGGACGGACCUCUGAACACUAAGCCCCAUAAAACUGAAACCGAAAUCAAUACAUGUACUGACGCUACCCAGCUGUUACAAUUUACCUACAAAAUAAAAAUUCCUGCUGUACACGAAAAAGGAGUUUCUAAGUGGGAACGCUGCAACUAUCUCCAUUGUACCUGCCAC